AGCAGCCGCGGUAAUUCCAGCUCCAAUAGCGUAUAUUAAAGUUGUUGCAGUUAAAAAAGCUCGUAGUUGAAUUUUGGGUCUGGCCGGGCGGUCCGCCCUCUGGGUGAGCACUGUUCCGACGCCGGGCCUAUCCUUCUGGUGAGUCGGCAUGUCCUUUGUUGGGUGUGUCGGGGAACCAGGACCAUUACCUUGAAAAAUUAGAGUGUUCAAAGCAGGCGUAUGCUCGGAUACAUUAGCAUGGAAUAAUGAAAUAGGACGCGUGGUGCUAUUUUGUUGGUUUCUAGAACCGCCGUAAUGAUUAAUAGGGAUAGUUGGGGGCAUUAGUAUUCAAUUGUCAGAGGUGAAAUUCUUGGAUUUAUUGAAGACUAACUUCUGCGAAAGCAUUUGCCAAGGAUGUUUUCACUAAUCAAGAACGAAAGUUAGGGGAUCGAAGACGAUCAGAUACCGUCG
rnacentral:rRNA from 1 species